rnacentral:rRNA from 1 species
GAUGAACGCUGGCGGCGUGCCUAAUACAUGCAAGUCGAGCGAACAGAUGAGGAGCUUGCUCCUCUGACGUUAGCGGCGGACGGGUGAGUAACACGUGGAUAACCUACCUAUAAGACUGGGAUAACUUCGGGAAACCGGAGCUAAUACCGGAUAAUAUAUUGAACCGCAUGGUUCAAUAGUGAAAGACGGUUUUGCUGUCACUUAUAGAUGGAUCCGCGCCGCAUUAGCUAGUUGGUAAGGUAACGGCUUACCAAGGCAACGAUGCGUAGCCGACCUGAGAGGGUGAUCGGCCACACUGGAACGGAGACACGGUCCAGACUCCUACGGGAGGCAGCAGUAGGGAAUCUUCCGCAAUGGGCGAAAGCUUGACGGAGAAACGCCGCGUGAGUGAUGAAGGUCUUCGGAUCGUAAAACUCUGUUAUUAGGGAAGAACAAAUGUGUAAGUAACUAUGCACGUCUUGACGGUACCUAAUCAGAAAGCCACGGCUAACUACGUG